rnacentral:rRNA from 1 species
AGUAGCGGCGAGCGAACGCGGAAGAGCCUAAACCGGUUGCGUGCAUGCGGGGUUACGGACUGCAUUUAAGAUUCUGCAAUGUUAGUGGAACGGUUUUGGGAAAGCCGGCCGGAGAGGGUGAAAGCCCCGUACGUGAAAACAGAGCUGACUGAGCAGGAUCCGGAGUACCACGAGACACGAGGAACCUUGUGGGAAGUAAGGGGGACCACCCCCUAAGGCUAAAUACUACUUAGUGACCGAUAGCGCAUAGUACUGUGAAGGAAAGGUGAAAAGGACCCCGGGAGGGGAGUGAAAGAGAACCUGAAACCCUGUGUCUACAAGCUGUGGAAGUGCCAUAUGAGCACGACCGCGUACUUUUUGUAGAACGGUCCGGCGAGUUACGCUUACUGGCAAGGUUAAGCACUUCAGGUGUGGAGCCGUAGGGAAACCAAGUCUUAAUAGGGCCAGAGUCAGUAGGAGUAGACCCGAAACCGGGUGAUCUAUCCAUGUCCAGGUUGAAGCUGCCGUAAGAGGUAGUGGAGGACCGAACCCAC